rnacentral:rRNA from 1 species
GAUGAACGCUAGCGGCAGGCUUAAUACAUGCAAGUCGAGGGGCAGCAUGAACGUAGCAAUACAUUUGAUGGCGACCGGCAAACGGGUGCGGAACACGUACACAACCUUCCUAUAAGUGGGGUAUAGCCCAGAGAAAUUUGGAUUAAUACCCCGUAACAUAAUGAUGUGGCAUCACAUUAUUAUUAUAGCUUCGGCGCUUAUUGAUGGGUGUGCGGCUGAUUAGAUAGUUGGCGAGGUAACGGCCCACCAAGUCUACGAUCAGUAGCUGAUGUGUGAGCAUGGUCAGCCACACGGGCACUGAGACGCGGGCCCGACUCCGACGGGAGGCAGCAGUAAGGAAAAUUAGUCAAUGGACGCAAGUCUGAACCAGCCACGCCGCGUGAAGGAUUAAGGUCCUCUGGAUUGUAAACUUCUUUUAUCUGGGACGAAAAAAGGCUAUUCUUAGUCACUUGACGGUACCAGAUGAAUAAGCACCGGCUAACUCCGUGCCAGCCGCCGCGGUAAUAC